GACAGGGCACCAGGUUCCAGUCCCAGGAGCUCCCAGCCAUGUAAAGGACGCAUGCACCACAUUAAAGGAGUCUUCCCAUCAAGCUUCCCGAAGAGAUAAAAUCUUAAAAAGAAGAAGAAAGAAAGAAAGAAAGAAAGAAAGAAAGAAAGAAAGAAAGAAAGAAAGAAAGAAAGAAAGAAAGAAAGAAAGGAAAACCUUCCAGCUAAUAACAAGGGAAAUAAAGAAAUAAACUCAUUCAGAAAUUGGAAAAGCUUCACAAGGCUAAAAUCUGUCUUCCUUUUAAUUUACUAUAUGUUAUCUUAGAUUGAAAGCCUGGGAAUUAAUAUUUCCUUUCAAAGAUACUUUGUUUAAAUUAAACUUUUUCUCACUGUCA